AUGAAGAAGAGGAGGGAGCCUGUCAGUGAAGGAGCGGAGAGUGCAUGGACACUGUCCAGGGGCCUGCAGGACCUUCUGACCUGCCCCGCCUGUGGAGGCUUCUUCAGUGACCCUGUAACAGAGCAUUCUGGUGACACCUUCUGCCGGGAUUGCCUUCCUCAGAAAUCCCAGCCUGCGUACCUCCAUACCAACUGGAAGAUGCAGAACCUGGUACGGCUGGCCAAGCAGCUCCUUGAGGAGCCCCAGGCCACUCUAGAGGGAUGGUGUGCCAAGCACCAGGAAAACUGGAGCUUUUUCUGUAGAGAAGACAAUGAGAAAAUCUGCCUAGUGUGCCACUACUCCAUCCUUCACCAGGGCCACACCCUGACCCAGCUGCAAGAUCUAGACACAAAACAAGAGGCAAGUCGGCUUCUAGGACAAAGUCAAGGUGCCUAAAUUGUGGUUUGCAGGAGAAAGAAGAAGUCUCUAGGGGCACUGGGAACUCCCAGGGAAGUCCUCUGGAAAAUCUUCCCCCUCUGGGUCCUUUCCACAGGCUGGCCUCCAGGCCUCCAAGACAUUCCCUCUGCACUCCAGCUGCUUGGAAUCUCAGCCCCUUUCCAGACUGCUCUCCUGUCAUCUGUCAGGGAAAUCCCUCCCUCAUCCUUUACUCUUACUCCUCCAGGUCCAUGCUUUGAAAUGAUCUCUAUCCAUGUUGGAUCUCCCCAUGUUCCUUGAGGGCAGAGGCUUGCAGGAACUUUUGGAAGCUCAGCACCCUCAGCCAGUGCUUGGCACUUAGGAAGCUGUUCAUCAGUGCUCCUUGAACUGAGUUGCUCUUAUCCUCUCUAUCCCUGCCAGGGUGCUUCUGAAGAAGAGGGCGAGACGGCCUCCAGAUCUCUGAACCACUGAAUUCUCUUCCCCGGGUCUUUCCAUGGGGUAGAACACUGGGCCCAAAAGAACUCUGCCGUUACCUUCACCCGCACCCCCUCUGGAAUCCUCCUGGAAACUCAGAGUCGGUUAAUCACGGACACGUCUUUAAGGAAGGGAGCGUGCAGGAUGGAAGAAAUUUCAAGUUGAAGCCUGAGAGAAAUUGCCAUUUUACUAUUCUGAGGGUACCCCAAGAUUAACAUGUCUGUUUUCUGUGCGUUUCCUUACCAGGAAGGUGCACUGGACACAGACCAGAGUAGGAGCUGCAGGAAGCCCAGUCUUGCUCACUGUCCCCAGCUGACCUCGUUAAGCCGUGCACCCCAGGCCGGCCUGAACCCUCCAACAGAACGUCCUGCUUCUGUGCCUCACUUGUUCCUGGGAAGACUGGCCCUUCUGUUUCCUGACGCCUCCCCAGUCCUCCCCUUUGUGCUUGUCGAGCAGAAAUCUCCCCAGCUUGUCCUGGGUGGUGGGCUCCUUUCUACUGUGUAAUGCGGUGCCUCGGGACUAGGGUCUCCUUUUCCUCCUAAUACAACUUUUCUGCUUUCAGUCCGGCUUGGACUCUUCUUCAUUUAGAAGGGUGCACUUUGUUCCACUGCCCUGUUGACACUGUUAUAUUAAUAAGCAAUUAUUAAUUUAGGAUCCAGGCUUUUGCUCCUUGGCUUCCCAUUUCAGGCCCAACCCCUGUAAAAAGUCAAUCUCUGAAGGACAGGAUUUAGAUCUCCUAGCCCUCAAGGUACAUGGGCAUUAAUGCUGGGCAAGACGCCACCCAGGGAGGAGACCUUACUCAUGUUUAGACUAUAAAUAGAAUCCAGGCUGGGCACGUUUUUGCCUGAAGAAGAACAGCCCCUGUCCUUGUACCCCUACAUUAGAAUUUAGGGUGACUCAGCUCAUGAAAGAGAAAACCAAUCUGAGUGGUCUGGAUAGAGGUGGCUGAGUCUCAUGGUCAAGCCAAGUUCUCAGCAGGAGGAGCUGAAGCCUAGUCUAGCCCAGCUCCCCAUUAAAUGUCCACCAAUCAGGGUUGAGUUUCAUUUGUGAAGGGAAUUCCCUUUCCUGGAUUACUUACACACCUUUCAAGCUCUCCAUGUUUUCUCUUUGGUUGUGGAGAGAAACCACUGAUCAGUUUAUGAGCAGAUAUCCUAAUAAGUUGAUUAUUUAAUACCAAGAACUGUCUGUGUGGGUUUUUCACUCCUGACAGGGUUCUUAGCAGCCUAGACUGUGAUGCUGAUUCAGCCUGAAACCUAGUGGUCCUUCUUGUUUGUAGCGUGAAGAAUUUUUACCUUGUAGUCACCUAAUAAAGUAUACUCUUCUCUUGUCUGCUGGAUGGUG
ensembl:lncRNA